rnacentral:lncRNA from 1 species
CAACUAUGAGAAUCUCGAAUCUACAAGGCUAGUUGAUAUACCCUCCAAUGUAUCUGAUCACUUUCCAAUCAAGGUUAUACUUCCAUGUGAACUUACUAAAAAGGACCCUUUAGAAAGUAAUAUACAAUCAAGAAUCAGCUGGAACAAAGUAGAUACUAAUAGAUAUAGUGAUAUCAUCAAUAAACAAAUUCCGGUAUUAUUAGAAAAACUUAAUACUCACGAGGACUCAAUUACAAAUAGAGUGGAAGAAACAAUGGAAAUACUUUCAAUAUCAGCAAAGAAAUGUUGUGCCCAAAAAUCAUACGGGAAAAACAAAUUGAAGCUAAAAAUAUGGAAUCCUCAAAUAAAAGACAGUCUCCACCAAAACAAAACAGAAUAUAAAAUUUGGAAAGAUGAAGGUAGACCAAAUGACCCUGAUCAUCCGUCAGUUAGAAUGAAAAAGAAACAAGAAGAGUUUUCAGAUCUGAAAUACGAAAAGAAGAAAACAAGCGUAAACAUGUCGAAAGAGAUAGAAUAAUAACUGCGAACACCCAAGAUAAGAGAUUGUUCUACCAACUUAUAAAGAAGCAAAGAAAUAAUAAAACAUCUUUAUCAAUGACUUGCAUGUUGCAAAUAACAAGUAUGAAUAUGAGGAAGUAAUUGAAGGUUGGCAUGAACAUUUUAAAACCCUAGCUGAAUCUAUUUCAAACACAACCUACGAUGGCAAACAUCAAGACCUUUGUGAAAUGGACUAUAAAGCAAUAAAAACUAUAUGCGAUCAAGUACCG